rnacentral:rRNA from 1 species
GACGUAGGGCGCGAGCGUUGUCCGGAUUUAUUGGGCGUAAAGAGCUCGUAGGCGGUUUGUCGCGUCGGCCGUGAAAUCUCCACGCUUAACGUGGAGCGUGCGGUCGAUACGGGCAGACUUGAGUUCGGUAGGGGAGACUGGAAUUCCUGGUGUAGCGGUGGAAAUGCGCAGAUAUCAGGAGGAACACCGGGUGGCGAAGGCGGGGUCUCUGGGCCGAUACUGACGCUGGAGGAGCGAAAGCGUGGGGAGCGAACAGG